AUUGUGCUGAAAUUAAAGAAGCCACACUAAAAAGAGAAUAUAUGGCACAAUUCCAUUUAUUUGAAAUACCAGAA